rnacentral:hammerhead_ribozyme from 1 species
AUCCACAUGACGAAUCUCAAAUAGGACGAAAUUCAAUUCUUGGAU